UCCUCUUUAGCUUAGUUGGUAGAGCCAUUUGAGCACUGUUAUUGGGUUGUAAUAAGCAUCGCUUGGUUGAAGAUUAUGAAUGGUGUCGAAAUCAAUACAACGGACUGUUAAUCCGUGUGUCGCUGGUUCAAGCCCAGCAAGAGGAGCCA
rnacentral:tRNA from 1 species